rnacentral:rRNA from 1 species
CCCCCGCCCGACGGGGUGCAGCAGGCGCGAAAACUUCGCAAUGCGGGAAACCGGACGAGGGAACUCCAAGUGUCUAUGCAAUGCAUAGACUGUUUUUCAGCCUAAAUAGCUGUUAGAGUAAGGGGUGGGUAAGACCGGUGCCAGCCGCCGCGGUAACACCGGCACCCCGAGUGGUAGCCACUAUUAUUGGGCCUAAAGCGUUCGUAGCCGGUUUAGUAAAUUCUUGGGUAAAUCGUACAGCUUAACUGUGCGGAUUCCGGGGACACUACUAGACUUGAGACCGGGAGAGAUUAGAGGUACUUGCAGGGGAGCGGUGAAAUGUUGUAAUCCUGCAGGGACCACCAGUGGCGAAGGCGUCUAAUCAUAACGGCUCUGACGGUGAGGAACGAAACCCUGGGGCGCAAACGGGAUUAGAUACCCCGGUAGUCCAGGGCGUAAACGCUGCUGACUUGGUGUUGGAGAUCCUACGAGNGUNGNU